GGCUGGGUAGCUCAGUUGGUUAGAGCGUGGCACUCAUAACGCCAAGGUCGUGGGUCCAAUCCCCACCCCAGCUA
rnacentral:tRNA from 2 species